rnacentral:rRNA from 1 species
UGGGGAAUAUUGCACAAUGGGCGCAAGCCUGAUGCAGCCAUGCCGCGUGUAUGAAGAAGGCCUUCGGGUUGUAAAGUACUUUCAGUCGGGAGGAAGGUGGUAAGGUUAAUAACCUUGGCAAUUGACGUUACCGACAGAAGAAGCACCGGCUAACUCCGUGCCAGCAGCCGCGGUAAUACGGAGGGUGCAAGCGUUAAUCGGAAUUACUGGGCGUAAAGCGCACGCAGGCGGUUGAUUGAGUCAGAUGUGAAAUCACCGGGCUUAACCCGGGAAUUGCAUCUGAUACUGGUCAGCUAGAGUCUUGUAGAGGGGGGUAGAAUUCAAUGUGUAGCGGUGAAAUGCGUAGAGAUCUGGAGGAAUACCGGUGGCGAAGGCGGCCCCCUGGACAAAGACUGACGCUCAGGUGCGAAAGCGUGGGGAGCAAACAGG